GUUUUGUGUGCAAUACAGCUAGCCUAGUUUCCCAAGAUGGAGUCUACCCCACGAUCUGACACAAGGAGCAGGGGCUCAUCGCAGCUACCCAACAGCCGCUCAGUUGAUUGCAUCUUAUCGCGCCUCAAUGACACCUUCAAUACAUUUUGGCUCAAACUUCGGCUUGCAUUGCUAUCUCAGCCUUUAAAGGUUGUCCAGAAGUCACACAGAGCCGAGGAGGAGGGGAUCCCGUCGUGGCAUAACUACUGCACAUUCAUUCCCUCAAGUUCCCAACUGCCAUCCUGGGCCAAGAGCCCCCAGAUGCAGUGGCCUCAGGCAUCGACUACGCAGGCAGAAAGCCCACCGCUGUUAUAGGCACUUACCUUCCUAGUCUUCUGCACCUCCCGGCAAAGGAAAAGGUUUGGCGCUUUUAAGCUCCCUGGUCUCUGGUGACCGAUUGCUGGCUCACUGCCUGGCCUCUGGCUGGAGGGGACACCUGCCCCGGCACUACAGAGUAGGCUGAAGCCUGACUAUUUUGGACUGCUC